rnacentral:rRNA from 1 species
UACGUAGGGAGCAAGCGUUGUCCGGAAUCAUUGGGCGUAAAGCGCGCGUAGGCGGCCCCGUAAGUCCGCUGUGAAAGUCAAAGGCUCAACCUUUGAAAGCCGGUGGAUACUGUGGGGCUAGAGUACGGAAGAGGCGAGUGGAAUCCUGGUGUAGCGGUGGAAUGCGCAGAUAUCAGGAGGAACACCAAUAGCGAAGGCAGCUCGCUGGGACGUUACUGACGCUGAGGCGCGAAAGCGUGGGGAGCGAACAGG